rnacentral:rRNA from 1 species
AGGAUGAACGCUGGCGGCGUGCCUAACACAUGCAAGUCGAACGUCCUGUCUCGCAAGAGGCAGGGAGUGGCGGACGGGUGAGUACCACGUGGGUCAUCUACCGUGAGGUGAGGAAUACCGGCGAGAAAUCGCCGACAAGACCGCAUAGGCUCGAUGCAAGUCGAGCAAAGCUCUUUCGAGAGAGGGAGCGCCACACGAGGAGCCUGCGCCCGAUUAGCUAGCUGGUGGAGUAACGGUUCACCAGGGCGACGAUCGGUAGCUGGUCUGAGAGGACGAUCAGCCACACUGGGAUUGAGAACGGCCCAGACUCCUACGGGGGCAGCAGUGAGGAAUUUUCGCAAUGGGGGCAACCCUGAACGAGCAACGCCGCGUGCAGGAAGAAGGUUUUCGGAUCGUAAACUGCUUUUCGUCGGGAAGAGGAACGGACGGUACCCGAGGAAUCGAGCCCCGGCUAACUACGUGCCAGCAGCCGC